GUUGGAGGGAGCAGUUGGUGCCGCAGCAGCUGGAGGCAAGGCGCAGAGACUGGGGAGUGAAGGUGUCCGGUGCCAGUGUCUAUGGAACCAGAUUGAUCGCCACUGGUUGGAGGUGGCAGCGGCGUGGUGACGGAGGUUGGUGAACCGACCCAGGGUCCUCCGGAGGCAAGCAGGUGACAGGCAGCGAGGAGUGAGUGAGGGCUGGUGACAGGAGAGAGGCAGCGCUAUGCAGUGAUACUGCAGGGAUCGGAAUGCCUUUAUUAAGGCUAUAUAUAAUUGAAACUGGGAAUGUCUGAAAAUAUUUUUAGAUAACCAGAAUAUUGUAUUUCUAAGAGCUGGGCUACUGCCUCUGAACGGAGGAAUUUGAAAACCCCUUCAGAUCUGUCUUCCCACUUUAAUAGACCCUCAUUCGAGUCUGGAUGCAGUAAUAUAUCUCGAAUAAACUCCCACAGAUGUGUACCACGCGCAGCUGGAAAUGAAGAAACUGAUAUCUUUGCUGUCGGAAUUCAGUUUACGAGGUCGGCCUCUCCUUCUUUUACUGGGAUUUCCAUCACUUUUGUUGUAAUUUGAGAAACUAUCUGAUCAAGCAAAAACAGAUGCCAGCAUAUUAAUCUACCCAAAAGAGUCCGCCAUUACCACGUUCCCUGGCAGGGAAUUCCACAUCCUAAUUGCCCUAACAGUGAAGAACCCUUUCUUGCGUCGCGUUCGGAACGUUCUUUCCUCCAGCCGCAGCGAGUGCCCACGUGUCAUAAACUGUGUUCUUUUAAUAAAU